GAGGGUAUAGCUCAAAGUGGUAGAGCACAUGCUUAGCAUGCACGGGGUCCUGGGUUCAAUCCCCAGUACCACCU
rnacentral:tRNA from 1 species